rnacentral:rRNA from 1 species
CGUGCCUACGGGACGCAGCAGUGGGGAAUAUUGGGCAAUGGGCGCAAGCCUGACCCAGCAACGCCGCGUGAAGGAAGAAGGCUUUCGGGUUGUAAACUUCUUUUGUCAGGGACGAAGCAAGUGACGGUACCUGACGAAUAAGCCACGGCUAACUACGUGCCAGCAGCCGCGAUAAUACGUAGGUGGCAAGCGUUAUCCGGAUUUAUUGGGUGUAAAGGGCGUGUAGGCGGGAAUGCAAGUCAGAUGUGAAAACUAUGGGCUCAACCCAUAGCCUGCAUUUGAAACUGGAUUUCUUUAGUGCUGGG